GCUGCGGCCAAGCUGGAGCCCCCGCCCACCAGGAUCGCGGCACUCUCUGAGGACAAAGUACUUCCGAGGAAGUCUUCCUCCCCUCUGGUCUUCCCUGCCUCCUGGCUGGGGACAAGGCUUGCAACCCUGCUGUAGGGCUGCAAGGCAGGGCUGCCAGGGUGAGGCUCAGAGGCUUGCUCAAGGCUACACAGCUGACAGGUGAGCCAUGACGAGGCCCCAGGUGACCUGGAGCAGGGCUCAGCGCUGCUCACAGCCCUUGCUCCAGAGUUACCAAAGCCAGAGGCGGGGUGGCCCUUGGGAACCUCCCUCUUUCUUCUCAAGACUCGCGUCUUGAUGCCUUCGGAGGGUCUGGCUCACUGUGGUUUUAAAUAGCCAUUCCUCUUUGCAGCAGCUUCUCCUUCACCCAAACCCAACACCUCUUCCAAGAAGUAUGGCCGGGCCCACGUCCAGCCUGCUGUCCGCCUGGCUCUGACUGAGACAGAUAUGCCCACAAUCCUUCUUUUUCUUUUUCUUUUUCCUUUUUCUUUCUUUUUUUUGUGUGUGAUAUGGAGUCUUGCUCUAUCACCCAGGCUGGAGUAUAGUGGCACAAUCUCGGCUCACUGCAUCCUCUGCCUCCCGGGUUCAAGCGAUCCUCCUGCCUCAGCCUCCUGAGUAGCUGGGAUUACAGGUGUGCAUCACCACGCCCGGCUAAUUUUUUUGUAUUUUUAGUAGAGAUGAGGUUUCACCAUGUUGGUCAGGCUGGUCUCAAACUCCUGACCUCAUGAUCCACCCACCUCGGCCUCCCAAAGUGCUGGGAUUAUAGGCAGGAGCCACCGUGCCCAGCCAAUCCUUCUUUUUCUUAAUCCUGAAUUUGAGAUUCUGGCCCAGGCACUUGUGAAAUCACGUCCUUUGUCUUGUUUUCCAGAGGACAGGCUCUGAUGAGUGGCCAGGACAGGCAGUGGCAGGAGGGCAAAGCUCGAAAUGCUGACCUGCCACCCACACCCACAACUGCCUGGGGAGUUAGGGGCUGACAUGGCCAGGGAGGGGCUGUGGGCCAGGAGGUGACCUGUAGGGCCCCACCUUGACUCCCUGACCCUGUCCUGCUGCUCUCACCCCCUUUGUAAAAGGCCAGAUCUUCACUUUGCCCCGAAAAGUACCAGUCUGGCUGCCCAUGGUCUUUCUGACAUGUUGUCUGUGCUACUGCAGGUAUUCUCUCUGGGAGGGGGUGGAUCGGAAUAGGAGAGACAGGAAAGGCCACCCGAGGGUGGGCCAGUGUGGGGAGUGUGAAGUGAGGCUCCUGGCAUGUGAAAUGGAGUCAGCAGAGUGAGCCGGCCUCCACUCAGUGAGCCGGGUCUCCCCCACAGCCGGCAUGUGCUGACCUCCUUCCAACUGCUCUACCAAGAGAGGGAGGACGCACCCAGCUGUCGGGAGGGCCAGAGAUGGAGGGCCCAACUACAAGGAUGCAAUGCACAAGACACACCUUCCACUUGGCACUAGAGAACCAAGGUGCUGCUAAGGGAAUGAGCCUUGUCACCUCCCACUGCCAGCUCGCCUUCAUGGGGUUCUGGCUUUACCAGCACAACCUCCAUUGCUCAGAAGGGAAAUAAGCAUCUAGAAAGGGACACGAGUUGUCCAGCUUCCUAGGAUGGGGCACCCUCGCUUGGGAAGCCCUAUGAAUCCUUCCCGUCUUCUCAGGAACAUUCUGUUUUCGCCUGAGCCCUAGGACCACGCAAUAUCACUGCAGGCAGAAUUUUCCUAGCAACCACAGAAUCCAAGAUUACAUCAUCCCCUGCACGGCAGCUGAGUUGGUUACCUAACAGAUGCCGACUUUUCCUGAGUGCUGCUUGCCCAGCUUGCUAAUCAGAAGGGGGCUGGCAAGAGUCUGUGAAAGGGGAGUUGUCAGCAGAAGAUGCCUUAGUGGCAGUGAUGGUGGCAGCCCGCUCACUCCUCUCCCUGCCUGCCCUGUGGCCUUUCGCUCAGGGACCUUGGGCCUCUGUAGUGAGCUGCAGGCACAAAAAUAGCCCUGGAUGCCCCAGGAGGGAAUGGUGCAUCUACAGAGGGAAUGGGCCAUUGGCUUCUCAGAGGAGCCCAGACCUGGGGACCAGGACUCCCGACUCCACAGCCUGCCCAGUGUGUGUGCCUGUCCUGCGCUCUGAGGGUGGGAAGGAAGUAAUCUUCUCCAGGUCACACAGGGACUCUGAUGGCUAUUUAACAAGACACUUGAAGCAAAGGAUUUGCAAGAGUCCUACCCUUCCCACACUGCCAGCUGCCACCCCCUUCCCUGGUGGCAUUUAUAGAGCCUCCCACUGUGCUGCUGGAGCCCUGCAGAGAGGAAAAGGCCUGAGGAGCUGCGGCCUGUCUGUGCUCUCUUCUGUUCCUUAAGGAUAUUAUCCAGGCUUUACCACAAGGAUCUGCUUUCCUUUGGGAUGAAAGAGAAGGCAGGCUCUCAGUUCUUCCAGAGCAUUCUCUGACCUACCCUUGUCACUGGUUGGCCAGAAAUUGACAAGGUGAUCCUAACAUUCAUAUGGGAAGGGAAGGGACCCAGAAUAUCCAACACCACCUUGAAAAAGAAGAAGUUGGACUCACACUUCCCAAUUUCAAAACUUACUACAAAGGCAAGGUCAACGAGACUGGGUGGUACUGGCAUAAGGACAGACAUAUAGAUCAGUGGAACAAAAAUGAGAGUUCAGAAAUAAACCCUCCAACUU
rnacentral:lncRNA from 1 species